rnacentral:rRNA from 1 species
GACGCCCAACACACAAAACAAGCGGUGAGUGCUUUGGGGUGGGGUGACUGCGUACCUUUUGUAUAAUGGGUCAGCGACUUAUAUUCUGUAGCAAGGUUAACCGUAUAGGGGAGCCGAAGGGAAACCGAGUCUUAACUGGGCGUUAAGUUGCAGGGUAUAGACCCGAAACCCGGUGAUCUAGCCAUGGGCAGGUUGAAGGUUGGGUAACACUAACUGGAGGACCGAACCGACUAAUGUUGAAAAAUUAGCGGAUGACUUGUGGCUGGGGGUGAAAGGCCAAUCAAACCGGGAGAUAGCUGGUUCUCCCCGAAAGCUAUUUAGGUAGCGCCUCGUGAACUCAUCUUCGGGGGUAGAGCACUGUUUCGGCUAGGGGGUCAUCCCGACUUACCAACCCGAUGCAAACUGCGAAUACCGAAGAAUGUUAUCACGGGAGACACACGGCGGGUGCUAACGUCCGUCGUGAAGAGGGAAACAACCCAGACCGCCAGCUAAGGUCCCAAAGUCACAGUUAAGUGGGAAACGAUGUGGGAAGGCUCAGACAGCCAGGAUGUUGGCUUAGAAGCAGCCAUCAUUUAAAGAAAGCGUAAUAGCUCACUGGUCGAGUCGGCCUGCGCGGAAGAUGUAACGGGGCUAAACUGUGCACCGAAGCUGCGGCAGCGACGCUUAUGCGUUGUUGGGUAGGGGAGCGUUCUGUAAGCCUGCGAAGGUGUCCUGUGAGGGAUGCUGGAGGUAUCAGAAGUGCGAAUGCUGACAUAAGUAACGAUAA